rnacentral:rRNA from 1 species
UACAGAGGGUGCAAGCGUUGUUCGGAAUUAUUGGGCGUAAAGAGCGUGUAGGCGGCUUGGUAGGUCCGCUGUGAAAACUCGAGGCUCAACCUCGAGAUGUCGGCGGAAACCACUUGGCUAGAGUCCGGAAGAGGAGAGUGGAAUUCCUGGUGUAGCGGUGAAAUGCGCAGAUAUCAGGAAGAACACCUAUGGCGAAGGCAGCUCUCUGGGACGGUACUGACGCUGAGACGCGAAAGCGUGGGGAGCGAACAGG